rnacentral:lncRNA from 1 species
GCUGAGUCUGAGCAUCUGUAUGAUCUGAGGGCUGGUCUUCCCCACUGAAAUUCUGGGGUCAGAGUUUCUCAUAGUAACACCAGAGACACACGCCAUAAUUCUGAAGGCUUUCUCACUCGACGGCUUUCUGGUGCCCUCUGUGUGCUUUCACUCAGAGGAGUCCUUUCCUGGAGCGGCUGAUAAAGGUGUUGCCCUUGUGAGUGUUUCAGACAGCUCUCCCGAGGAGAGAGUAGCCUUUACAGUCUCGUCUCUAUCUCCAUGUAUCUUUAGAUGCUGGUCUUUAUUUUGGCGUAAUCCUCAAAUCCCUCGAAUUCUGUUAGUAAUACUUAGCUCAACAGUCUUGAAGGCGUCUGAAUCCCCACAGACGCCGGCUUUUUGGCAGCUCCAGGGCAUUUCUGUGUGGUACAGACAGCAGCGUGCAUGCUCUUCGUCCUCUCUGGGCCUCUUGACAAGGCCCAGGCCAGCCUUCGGCACGAGGCCUGAGCACUGUAUAGUUGGCGUCGCACGUUGCACAAACUGGUGUAUUGGUGUAUCUGUGUUGCUUUGACCCACAUUGAGUCUUUGAAGAUUGAUAAAAAUCGAUUCAGUCUAGAAACUAUUCUUCAGUGCUAAAAGCUGGGAAGAGGUGAGGCCCGUCUGCAGGACUUGGUUCACUGUUGUUGGUUUUCAUUCCAGUGGGAAUGCAGACUUAGGCUGAGCCCCAGGAGAAAACCGGAUGGACCGAGUCCACCCCUUAUCAACUCUAAGGUUACCUUAGACUUCCUUUUGUUUUUUCCUCUACAAUGUUAAGACUGACUAGGAAUUCCUGUCAAGAUCUUCUGAGCACGGAAUUUAGGAAGAGCCCAUUUUGAGCCCUGUGUGUUAUGUGGUCUUUUAGUAGCAGUUGGUGUGAAAGGAGAGUGAGGGCAUUCUGGCAGAGAACUGUUGUAUUCCAAAUGUAUUCUUACAUUAAAAAAAAGCUCAAGAAACAUAUGUUAGAAAUAAUGAAACUUAACUCAUACAUCAGCUCUCUCAGACCCUCUUUACCCUAAAGAGA